AUUCCACGUGUAGCAGUGAAAUGCGUAGAGAUGUGGAGGGACCCCGAUGGCGAAGGCAACCCCCUGGGCCUGUACUGACGCUCAUGCACGAAAGCGUGGGGAGCAAACAGGAUUAGAUCCCUGGUAGUCCACGCCCCUAAACGAUGUCGACUAGUCGUUCGGGAGCAGCAAUGCACUGAGUGACGCAGCUAACGCGUGAAAGUCGACCGCCUGGGGGAGUACGGCCGCAAAGGUUAAAACUCAAAGGAAAUUGACGGGGACCCGCACAAAGCGGUGGAUGAUGUGGGAUUAAUUCGAUGCAACGCGAAAAACCUUACCUACCCUUGACAUGCCAGGAAGCUUGCUGAGAGGCGAGCGUGCCUUCGGGAGCCUGGACACAGGUGCUGCAUGGCUGUCGUCAGCUCGUGUCGUGAGAUGUUGGGUUAAAGUCCCCGCAACGAGCGCAACCCUUGUCACUAGUAAACAUCAUAAGGUUGGGCACUCUAGUGAGACUGCCGGUGACAAACCGGAGGAAGGUGGGGAUGACGUCAAGUCCUCAUGGCAAAAAUGGGUAGGGCUUCACACGUCAUACAAUGGUCGGUACAGAGGGUUGCCAAGCCGCGAGGUGGAGCCAAUCCCAAAAAGCCGAUCGUAGUCCGGAUCGUAGUCUGCAACUCGACUACGUGAAGUCGGAAUCGCUAGUAAUCGCAGAUCAGCAUGCAGCGGUGAAUACGUUCCCGGGUCUUGUACACACCGCCCGUCACACCAUGGGAGUGGGUUUCACCAGAAGUCCCCUAGCUUGACCUUCGGGAGGGCGCUUACCACGGUGAGAUUCAUCCCUUUGUAAGUCGUAACAAGG
rnacentral:rRNA from 1 species